rnacentral:rRNA from 1 species
UACAGAGGGUGCAAGCGUUAAUCGGAAUUACUGGGCGUAAAGCGUGCGCAGACGGUUGCGUAAGUCAGAUGUGAAAGCCCCGGGCUCAACCUGGGAAUUGCAUUUGAGACUGCGUAGCUAGGGUGCGGAAGAGGAAAGCGGAAUUUCCGGUGUAGCGGUGAAAUGCGUAGAUAUCGGAAGGAACACCAGUGGCGAAAGCGGCUUCCUGGUCCAGCACCGACGUUCAGGCACGAAAGCGUGGGGAGCAAACAGG